ACAACAUUUGGACCGUCGGUCUACGGAGCAAUAUCACCUGCUCGGUGGAAGAUCUUCCCUCCACCGU
rnacentral:pre_miRNA from 1 species